UUUAUUGUUCAUAAUCCGUGUUUCUAGGUGAGGAUGGCAGAUGGGUCUAGGUUGGUGGUGAAGUUGAACCACACCCACCUCGUGGCAGAUCUGAGGACGUAUAUCUGUACUGCCAGGUCCGAGUAUGCUAGUGUACCCUUCUCUCUCAUGACAACGUUUCCUAACAAAGAGCUGACUGAUGAUAAA